CCCUGGUUAGCUCAGUUGGUAGAGCGCUCCACUGGUAAUUGGAGAGGUCCCUGGUUCCAUACCAGGACCAGGCA
rnacentral:tRNA from 2 species